CUGCUCAUGGGGGGCAGGACCACAGGGGCCCACUGAGACCACUCCAGACCCAGGAGGGGAAUGGGCGUGUGUACAGCUCACCCUGCGACCAGGCCUGCAGUGGGGGGUGGAAGGGGACCCAGAGCUCUGGGUCUGACGUGACUGUGUGCCUUGUUUCUUUGCAGGUUGUUCAUUUAGAAAGUGGAUGUGUGGGAUAACAUGUCCAGUGUGUCCGAGGAGAGAAGGAAAAGGCAGCAGAACAUUAAGGAGGGACUGCAGUUCAUACAGUCGCCGCUGUCAUACCCAGGAACCCAGGAACAAUAUGCGGUGUAUUUGCGAGCUCUCGUGAGAAACCUUUUUAAUGAAGGAAAUGACGUUUAUCGGGAACGUGACUGGAACAGCUCGAUAAGCCAGUACACGGAAGCUUUGAACAUAGCUGACUAUGCAAAGUCUGAAGAAAUUUUAAUCCCUAAAGAGAUCAUUGAGAAACUGCAUAUAAAUCGUAUUGCCUGCUAUUCUAACAUGGGUUUUCAUGAUAAGGUGUUAGAAGACUGUAGUGCUGUGCUCACCCUCAAUGCCAACAGCUGCAAAGCUCUGUAUCGGAAGGCUAAGGCUCUGAGUGACUUAGGAAGGUACAAGGAGGCCUACGACGCUGUGGCCAAGUGCUCCCUGGCAGUGCCUCAGGAUGAACAUGUAAUAAAACUGACUCAGGAGCUAGCUCAGAAAUUGGGAUUUAAAAUAAGGAAAGCGUAUGUUAGAGCCGAGCUCUCAUUGAAAUCCGUUCCUGGGGACGGGGCAACCAAGGCUGUGAACUAUUCUGUGGAAGAUAUUGAGCCAGAUCUGGUGGCUCCGAGGCAAGGAGCACUGCCCGCUGUUUCCCUACCUGCGCCCGGUUUUUCUCACGACGUAGGAAGUGAGCUGGCCUCGGUUUCUGUCACGCCCCUAGCUUCUGUUUUGUCCCUGCAAGUGGAAGAGAACACUCUGCCCUCCUCAGUAUUGGCAAAUGGAGGGAAGAUGCCUUUCACGAUGCCCGAGGCUUUUCUGGAUGAUGGAGACAUGGUCCUUGGAGAUGAGAUCGAUGACUUGCUUGAUUCUGCCCCAGAAACUAACGACACUGUUAUGCCCUCGGCCUUGGUCAGAGGACCGCUCCCGGCAGCCAGCCUCGCCCCCAGCUUGCCCUUCCCGGCAUCUCUGCUGGGGACCUUGCCCGUGGGUGCGAGGUAUACGCCUCCACCCUCCUUUGCAGAUUUGUAUCCACCUUUGACCUCAUCCUUAGAAGAUUUUUGUUCUUCUUUAAAUUCAUUUUCAAUAAGUGAAUCCAAACGAGAUCUGCCCACCUCAACUUCUAGAGAGGGAACCACGCUUAACAACAGUAAUUCUUCCCUUUCACUUAUGAAUGGACCAAGUAGUUUAUUUGCUUCCGAGAGUUUCCCGGGAAUUUCGAGUCAGCCUAGAAAUGACUUUGGAAACUUUUUUGGAAGUGCGAUUGUGAAGCCGUCAGCAGUGGUACCAAGACAUCCCCUGGAGGGGACCCACGAGCUGAGACAAGCUUGCCAGAUCUGUUUUGUAAAAUCAGGCCCUAAGUUAAUGGAUUUCACUUACCAUGCUAAUAUAGAUCAUAAAUGUAAGAAAGAUAUUUUAAUUGGUAGGAUAAAGAAUGUUGAAGAUAAAUCAUGGAAAAAAAUUCGUCCAAGACCAACAAAAACAAAUUAUGAAGGACCAUAUUAUAUAUGUAAAGAUGUGGCUGCGGAGGAGGAAUGUAGAUACUCAGGCCACUGCACGUUUGCCUACUGCCAAGAAGAGAUAGACGUCUGGACCUUGGAGAGGAAGGGGGCCUUCAGCCGGGAGGCUUUCUUUGGUGGCAAUGGGAAGAUCAGCCUCACGGUGUUCAAACUUCUGCAGGAGCAUCUUGGAGAAUUUAUAUUCCUUUGUGAGAAAUGUUUUGAUCAUAAACCUAGAAUGAUAAGUAAAAGAAAUAAAGAUAAUUCUACUGCUUGUUCUCACCCGGUUACAAAGCAUGAAUUUGAAGACAAUAAGUGCCUUGUCCACAUUUUGCGAGAGACCACGGUAAAGUACUCCAAGAUCCGAUCUUUCCACGGUCAGUGUCAGCUUGACCUGUGUCGACACGAGGUUCGCUACGGCUGCUUAAGGGAAGACGAGUGCUUCUAUGCCCACAGUCUUGUGGAACUGAAGGUCUGGAUCAUGCAGAAUGAAACAGGUAUUUCUCAUGAUGCUAUUGCUCAGGAGUCUAAACGGUAUUGGCGACAUUUGGAAGCAAGUGUACCUGGAGCCCAGGUAUUUGGCAAUCAGAUAAUGCCUGGAUCUCUUAAUAUGAGUAUAAAAUUUGUGUGUGCUCAGUGUCUGAGAAAUGGUCAAGUCAUUGAACCAGACAAAAACCGAAAAUAUUGUAGUGCAAAAGCUAGGCACUCGUGGACCAAGGAGCGCCGGGCCAUGAGAGCGAUGUCUUUUGAACCUGUGCAACCACAUUGCUUCUGGAAAGAAAUGCCAGUACGUUGGGAACUGCUCCUUUGCUCACAGUCCUGAGGAGCGAGAGGUGUGGACGUACAUGAAGGAGAACGGGAUACAAGAUAUGGAGCAGUUUUAUGAACUCUGGCUAAAGAGUCAAAAAAAUGAAAAAAGUGAUGAUGUAGCCAGUCAGUCAAACAAGGAAAAUGGAAAACAGAUCCACAUGCCGACAGAUUAUGCUGAGGUCACCGUGGACUUCCACUGCUGGAUGUGCGGGAAGAACUGUAACAGCGAGAAGCAGUGGCAGGGCCACAUCUCUUCAGAGAAGCACAAAGAGAAGGUCUUCCACACGGAAGACGACCAGUACUGCUGGCAGCACCGCUUCCCGACAGGCUGUUUUAGUGUUUGUGAGAGGUAUAUGAAUGGUUCCUGCACAGAAGGCAGCAGCUGUAAAUUUGCUCAUGGAAAUGCUGAACUUCAAGAGUGGGAAGAAAGAAGAAGCGCCCUCCAGAUGAAGCUCAACAAAGCAAGAAAAGAUCACUUAAUUGCCCCAAAUGAUAAUGACUUUGGAAAAUAUAGUUUUUUGUUUAAAGAUUUAAACUAAUAUGCUGGCUUUUAUGUAACCUAAUCAGAGCAUUGACCAGAAAAAUUGAAAGUGUUCUGAGGCACGUAGCAGAGGAGCUGCAGAUUUUCUGCUUGUAUUGGCGUGUAUCGUUCCUCCUGAGCAGCAACCCACAGUAGGUAGGAAAACGGGCUGUUUAACAGGUCCCGCCAGGCUCUCACGGAACCAUUGGCAUCAAAUGGCGAAGUGACUGCUACCCGGGUGCCCUCUGUUGAACAGACUUUUGGAUGAAGUGUGUUGGGAAGAGGAUAAGGUUAUGUCUAGGACGAUUCUUUGAGUUGGUCCUGCAGAUAAGAACCGUGACGGUAAGAGAAUAAACACUGGUACUGGGAUCAGAAUACAUGAUGAAUGAAGUUCUUUACAUGUUUUAGCGGAAUGAAUUUGUUUAAUAUAAUAAAGUUUGCUACUUAUCUGUAUGUAGGUUGCUAAAAAGGAUUUUCUUAACUCAGAUUUUAAGCCAAAUAACCAUUUAACACUAGUAUAUGUUAAAUGGGGUAUUUUUCUGUAUUUGUAUGUUUCACUAUAAUAAGGGAAGUGAGGAUAAUGUGCAUUGAGACUAUUUUGAAAAAUAAUCAGUUGAAUCAAAUUUUAUUUCUUGGUCUUUUGCUGUUUAAAUGAUGAUUUUGAAAGACUAAACUUGUACUGUUGGUAUCGUGUAGUGUAUGGACCAAUAUUGCCUGUAAUAAAAAAAUUUAUAUAUAGAUGA